CCCUUAGAUGUUCUGGGCCGCACGCGCGCUACACUGAUGCAUUCAACGAGCCUAUCCUUGACCGACAGGUCCGGGUAAUCUUUGAAUCUGCAUCGUGACGGGGAUAGAUUAUUGCAAUUAUUAAUCUUCAACGAGGAAUGCCUAGUAGGCGCAAGUCAUCAGCUUGCGUCGAUUACGUCCCUGCCCUUUGUACACACCGCCCGUCGUUCCUACCGAUUGGGUGUGCUGGUGAAAUGUUCGGAUCGGCCGUUUGUCGCGGUUUCCGCGUCAUGUGGCUGAGAAGUUCAUUAAACCCUCCCACCUAGAGGAAGGAGAAGUCGUAACA
rnacentral:rRNA from 1 species